AAAAACUUACUGAACUAAACAAUUGAUUUAAUAAUCUGUUUAAAACAACUUUCAACAACGGAUCUCUUGGUUCUCGCAUCGAUGAAGAACGCAGCGAAAUGCGAUACGUAAUGUGAAUUGCAGAAUUCAGUGAAUCAUCGAAUCUUUGAACGCACAUUGCACUCCUUGGUAUUCCGAGGAGUAUGCCUGUUUCAGUAUCAUGAGCACUCUCACACCUAACCUUUGGGUUAUGAUGUGGAAUUGGGAUGCGCCGAUUUUUACUAGUCGGCACUCCUAAAAUGUAGCUCUUGGCUGUUUCCUACUACAGCAGUUUGGCCUAAUAGUUUUGACUUUUGUCAAAUCUUUGGCUACAUUUGCUUCUGGAAAUCAGUCUUGAUAAUACAGAAAACUCAUUCAAACUUUGAUCUGAAAUCAGGUAGGGCUACCCG
rnacentral:rRNA from 1 species